ensembl:lncRNA
GCCAGCUCCCAAGUUUGCAGUCUCUUGCUUCUACAGCCGAACAGAGCAGGCAGACUAAAACUUUGCUAUCGAGGGCAGAGCGAAACCGGAAGGUUUACUGAGCUGUGGCUUCACGUAAACGCUGAGCAUACACUCGACGGCGGUCAGGUUUUUUAUAUGGGACGAAUCCAAAGACCAGGUCAGCGAUUCCAGAACCCAGAGUGUUCCAGUGUUCACUGGAUGGCGAGCCAACCCAAGAUCCUAGGAGACGAUAUACAUACACACGCACACUCAUUUGCACAUUGAUGGACUACAAUCCUCUACUGUACAAGUAGUACGGUAGGAUAGACAAUCACACACACUCUUACCAUUGGACAGACUCUAUUGCAAUACACCCGUUUGUCAUGGGCCCCACCGAUACCAUUUGGACUUAAAAAAGACUAAUAGUUUUACUUGUGCACAAUUUUAUUUUAUUCUAUUUUUUUGCUACUUUGGGGGAAAUUUUUAUACUGGAAGUUUUGUUAAACCUGUUGUAAUACUGUGUUGUUUACAAAUUCCUUUUAAAAGGCUUAAAAUCACUAAAGCACUUUUAAGCCACACAACUGUGUUUGUCUGGUUUCUCUGCCAUUCAUGUACCAGAGCUCUAAGAGUCGUUCUUUAUCUUCUGAUACUAGCCCAAAUUACUUAUUACCUUGGUAACUAUGCAUUGGUUCUGUAUAUAAAUCCAGGUAAGUGCUACAUAUGGAACUUGAACCUAUUUAAACCCUUGAUUAUCAGGAUGAUUUAGUACACAUCUGUUUAAAAAAUGAGAUUUAUUUUUCCACACAAAGUUAUAAAGUGCAGCAUCGACUGUUUUAUGAAUGAUUUAGGAACAUCUAUGACUUUUACAGGAUACACUAAGUGAGAUAAGUCCUCUGUUUUAAAUUAAAGGAUUCUACCUUUCAGUGA